rnacentral:lncRNA from 1 species
AUGUACUUGUUAAUUCAUUUUGGUGUAACAUGUACCUAUUAAUUCCUUUCGGACAUAGCACCGGCAUAUUUCACUCAAAUAUUGCACCCCAAGACUAUUCAGCAAGUAUAUGAAGCCAUAGCUAAUUCAUUUUGGUAGGUGUAACAUGUACCUAUUAAUUCCAUAUACAGACAUUUAGGAAACCAAAUCUACAAAACAACAAAGAGAACUCGGCUAAUAAAGCAAAAGAGAAGCGCCAAUUGUUGGCGAAAUAGAUUUAGGAGUGCCAGCCUUCC